rnacentral:rRNA from 1 species
GUGGCCCCAGGACGGGCGAGNNCACCCGCUGAGUUUAAGCAUAUCAAUAAGCGGAGGAGAAG